rnacentral:rRNA from 1 species
UACGUAGGGGGCAAGCGUUGUCCGGAUUUAUUGGGCGUAAAGAGCGUGUAGGCGGCCAGACAGGUCAGCUGUGAAAACUCGAGGCUCAACCUCGAGAUGUCGGUUGAAACCGUCUGGCUAGAGUCCGGAAGAGGAGAGUGGAAUUCCUGGUGUAGCGGUGAAAUGCGCAGAUAUCAGGAAGAACACCCGUGGCGAAGGCGGCUCACUGGCCCGGUACUGACGCUGAGGUGCGAAAGCGUGGGGAGCAAACAGG